UAACACCUUCACCAGAUGGAAUCAUUUUCUUUAGUAAACAUCCCCAUACUGUGUUUCUCACGAAAGCCACAGAUUCCAACCUGGUUGAUGACUUAUCUCCUCACUGCCCAAGAGUGAUACCUUAUACUCUCGCUCUGCGCGCAAGCGUGGCGGUUGUUCUCGCAAGAGGCGGCUGUAUUAGAGAGUGGUGAUGAUCUUGUCCCGGUCUUGCGGUCUGCCUUCGGGCGCGUGGAUUGGGUGGGUGGUGAUGGAUGUCUGACAGGC
rfam:Pseudogymnoascus verrucosus strain TAMH 10579 unplaced genomic scaffold scaffold_11, whole genome shotgun sequence.